GCACAUACUUUUCUGCCAAGUGCUGGAUAACUGUAACAUCAGCACAGGUACAGGUUUAUAGCAAAAAAACAGCUAAAAUUUCACUGAAAAAUAGACAGAAGAAAAUAUGAUAACCGUUCAGACACCACGACUGGCUUGAGAGCUUCUAUGAUAUAAAAUUGAGGAUUCAUUCUAUCAACAUCACAGCACUGGAUGCUUUGCUGCUUUGAGAUCAUGACCUCUGCUCUGCUAUAAAUGUCAGGACUGACUACAGUCAAAUAAGAGGAUUUAGUUUAAUAAAAACAUCAAAGAAAAGAGUAAAAAGCAUUACUUUUUGCCUAGAAACUAGGCACAGAGAUGACAUAACUCAGGACACUUCUGAGAGAAACGUGCAUUCAGCAGCUGAGGAAUGAUUUUCUGUAGAUGCUCCUACACUUCAGAGGCUGUCAAAAAUACUACCAGAGUGAGUUUGUGUCAGCAUAAAAUCGGAAACAUUAUUAUAUAUUGACUGGGCUAGUGCAAUGAGCAAAAUGCUGUGCACCUGAAACUGAACAAGAGUGUGAGACCAUGGUGACAAGUACGCUAUAAUGGUUUUGUUCUGAGAAAUGUAUUCUAUCUAGAACUGGAAAAUCAGAGCUGUUCACCAGCUCUCAAACAGAGAACUGACCAUCUUUUUUGACAUCAUUACGAAUGCUAUUGAGUGAAAGUCAAUCCCAGUCCAUGUGAAGUAAGCUUAACAGAGAAACUAGUAAACAAAAACAUCCACAUAUACUGUAGAGAACAAAAGCAUAACUUUAAACAGAUGACAAAGCUGUAUUGCUGCUGGGAACAUCUUCAUUCUGCAAAUAAUUGCUUCUGAACCAUUACUGCAGUCACUGUUGGAAGGUAUACAAAGGACAGCCUUCCUUUUGACUACGGUGGGAGUUCCUUCCUUUCAUGCCAGUGAAAUGGAGGUCGGUGUUUAGAAGAAAUAAUAAAAUAAAUGGAAAAGGAGGUGAUAAUGAUGUUUCUCUUUGCUAAACAAAGCAGAGUGCACUAAGGGCAAGAGUAUUCAAUUAGCCGAGCAUAUCUGACACAAAAAUAUUUCACACAAUGCAAGAAAAACAAGAAAGUAAACACUUUCUGGAGAUGAUAUUGGACACAAAACAGCAAGUGGAUAUGCUGCUGGCAAACAAAUGCCAAGCAGAGGUUGUUCUAGAAACUAAACACCAGCUGGAAGUGUCAUUGGAAACCAAACACCAGUGGGAGGUGAUACUGGAAAAUAAGCAACAGGUAGAAAUGGUGCUGGCAAUGAAACAUCAUGUAGUGGUAGUAGAAAUCAGAAACCAAGUGGAGGUGAUAGUGCAGUCCAAACGUCAGGGAGAGCUGAAACUGGAAAUCAUUCACAAAGAGGAGAUGAUAUGGAAACUAAACAAUGGGAGAAGAAAUAAACAGUGGAAACUGAAACACAAAAACAGAAAGCCAAGACUUAUGCACUUGUGAUGUCUACAACUUCAUUUAAGCUUCACAAACAAUUCUCGUCACUUGGUAAUCAUCCUACAAACAAAUUUCAAUGAGCUUGCCUCUUUUGCAUUCACUUCCUUCCUUGGAUGGACAGAGAAAUAAUGGUGACAUCAUGUCUGCAUAUGCUUUAUAUUUUGUAAUGUUACCUUGACAAAAGCAAGUGUGCCUGAAUUAAAACCGAAUGCUAAUAUUCUUCUGGAUAGUGACAUAAAUAUGCAUAAUAUAUACAAAACUGAUAAGAGCUCCAGCAAAGAAAAUUAUUUUUUUUCUUUAAAGGAAAUAUAUGCUUUCAUCCCAACAAUAACUUAUCAACCACAGUAGAUUACAUUGUGAAUGUAAUGCAUUUAAGCCCUAGGUCUGAGGAUUAUGACUAUGAUAUUUUAUAGUAUUUCAUCAGCUGUGAUGAUGAUGUCUUAUGCAAGUAAAAAUAUCUUAUGCUGAAGGGAGUUUACCAAGUGCCAUUUGAAUUUGGACAAAGGAUGACAGUAUAGCAAGGGACCAUCUUGUUUCCUGAAAGAGGGAAAUUGAUUUUGUUGUGUAUCAUCAUCAUCUUCAACCCCACCCCUUUUUCCUAUUUUCUACAUGAGGUUGGGGUGGCAUGACAAAUAUCGCCAUUUCUCUCUAUUCAAUGCCACUCUCCUACCUUCUUCAGCACUCAUGGUUGACUGUCGCAGGUCUUCUCUCACUCAGUCCAUCCACCUCUUUGAUGGAUGCCCUCGUUCCUUCUUAACCUUCCUGUCUGUUCCAAAUCUUCUUCACCAGAGUGCCUUUACUUUUCAGAACAUGUGCCUGAACUACUGUAAUCUGUUCUCUUUGAUCUUUUCUCCAAUUGGAGCUACUAUGGCAUCUGCUCUUAUGUCCUCAUUUCUUAGUCUGUCCCGCAGUGUGCAUCCUUUGCUGAAGUUCAUACUCAGGGUCUGCCUCUAAUGCCACACUGUCUGCAUACAGCAACUUUGUUGGGCUGUCCCCUCCACCAUGUUUUUUAAUGUAGUCCAUCACCAGUAUGAACAGCAGUGGGCUCAGAGCUGAAUGCUGAUGCACACCCACUCCCAUUGGCAACCCUACUGUGAGAUCAAACACCAUUCAUACUUCAGUCAUUGAGUCCAUGUACACAGCUUGCACUAAUUCUAUCAAUGUUUCUGUGACUUCAAAGCACCACAGGAAUGCCCAA